UACGUAGGGUGCGAGCGUUAAUCGGAAUUACUGGGCGUAAAGUGUGCGCAGGCGGCCGAGCAAGUCGAGUGUGAAAGCCCCGAGCUUAACUUGGGAACUGCGCUCGAAACUACUUGGCUAGAGUGUGGCAGAGGGAGGUGGAAUUCCACGUGUAGCGGUGAAAUGCGUAGAGAUGUGGAGGAACACCGAUGGCGAAGGCAGCCCCCUGGGCUAGCACUGACGCUCAGGCACGAAAGCGUGGGGAGCAAACAGG
rnacentral:rRNA from 1 species